rnacentral:rRNA from 1 species
AUUGAACGCUGGCGGCAUGCCUUACACAUGCAAGUCGAACGGCAGCACGGGAGCAAUCCUGGUGGCGAGUGGCGAACGGGUGAGUAAUAUAUCGGAACGUGCCCAGUCGUGGGGAUAACGCAGCGAAAGCUGUGCUAAUACCGCAUACGAUCUAAGGAUGAAAGCGGGGGACUCGCAAGAGCCUCGCGCGAUUGGAGCGGCCGAUAUCAGAUUAGGUAGUUGGUGGGGUAAAGGGCUCACCAAGCCAACGAUCUGUAGCUGGUCUGAGAGGACGACCAGCCACACUGGAACUGAGACACGGUCCAGACUCCUACGGGAGGCAGCAGUGGGGGAAUUUUUGGACAAUGGACGCAAGUCUGAUCCAGCCAUUCCGCGUGCAGGAUGAAGGCCUUCGGGUUGGUU